rnacentral:rRNA from 1 species
GCAAGUCGAACGCGAAAGCUCUUCGGAGUGAGUAGAGUGGCGGACGGGUGAGUAACGCGUAGGAAUCUACCUAGUAGUGGGGGACAACAUGUGGAAACGCAUGCUAAUACCGCAUACGCCCUGAGGGGGAAAGCGGGGGAUCUUCGGACCUCGUGCUAUUAGAUGAGCCUGCGUAGGAUUAGCUAGUUGGUGAGGUAAAGGCUCACCAAGGCGACGAUCCAUAGCUGGUCUGAGAGGACGAUC